GCCGGAGUGGCGGAAUAGGCAGACGCCCGGGACUUAAAAUCCCGUGUCCUUUUUGGACGUACCGGUUCGACCCCGGUCUCCGGCACCA
rnacentral:tRNA from 1 species